CCGGGUUGCGGACAGUGUCUGGUGGGUAGUUUGACUGGGGCGGUCUCCUCCUAAAGAGUAACGGAGGAGCACGAAGGUUAGCUAAUCCUGGUCGGACAUCAGGAGGUUAGUGCAAAGGCAUAAGCUAGCUUGACUGCGAGCGUGACGGCGCGAGCAGGUGCGAAAGCAGGUCUUAGUGAUCCGGUGGUUCUGAAUGGAAGGGCCAUCGCUCAACGGAUAAAAGGUACUCCGGGGAUAACAGGCUGAUACCGCCCAAGAGUUCAUAUCGACGGCGGUGUUUGGCACCUCGAUGUCGGCUCAUCACAUCCUGGGGCUGAAGUAGGUCCCAAGGGUAUGGCUGUUCGCCAUUUAAAGUGGUACGCGAGCUGGGUUUAGAACGUCGUGAGACAGUUCGGUCCCUAUCUGCCGUGGGCGCUGGAGAAUUGAGGGGGGCUGCUCCUAGUACGAGAGGACCGGAGUGGACGCAUCACUGGUGUUCGGGUUGUCAUGCCAAUGGCACUGCCCGGUAGCUAAAUGCGGAAGAGAUAAGUGCUGAAAGCAUCUAAGCACGAAACUUGCCCCGAGAUGAGUUCUCCCUGAC
rnacentral:rRNA from 1 species